UACGGGGGGGGCAAGCGUUGUUCGGAAUUACUGGGCGUAAAGGGCUCGUAGGCGGCCAACUAAGUCAGACGUGAAAUCCCUCGGCUUAACCGGGGAACUGCAUCUGAUACUGGAUGGCUUGAGUUCGGGAGAGGGAUGCGGAAUUCCAGGUGUAGCGGUGAAAUGCGUAGAUAUCCGGAGGAACACCGGUGGCGAAGGCGGCUUCCUGGACCGACACUGACGCUGAGGAGCGAAAGCGUGGGGAGCAAACAGG
rnacentral:rRNA from 1 species